rnacentral:rRNA from 1 species
GAUGAACGCUGGCGGCGUGCCUAAUACAUGCAAGUCGAGCGAACGGACGAUAAGCUUGUCUCUCUGUUGAUAGCCGCGCACGGGUGAGUAACACGUGGAUAACCUACCUGUAAGACUGGGAUAACUUCGGGAAACCGGAGCAAACACCGGAGGAUCUUUUGAACCGCGUGGUUCAAAAGUGAAAGACGGUCUUUCUGUCACUUAUAGAUGGAUCCGCGCUGCAUUAGCGAGUCUGUAAGGUAACGGCUUACCAAGGCAACGAUGCAUAACCGACCUGAGAGAGUGGUAGGCCACACUGGAACUGAAACGCGUUCCAGACUCCUACGGGAUGCCGCAGUAGGGAAGCUUGCGCAAUGGUCGAAAGCCUGACGGAAAGACGCCACGUGUGUAGCAACAAUCUCCGGAGCGGAAAAAUCGCGUAUGAGUGAUAAACAGAUUUGUAAGUAACUGAGGACAGCUUGACGGUACCGAAUAAGAAAGCAGCGGCUAACUACGUG